UAUACAUUGGCCACAAAACACUACAUUUUUAUCAGCAAUUAGAAGAAAUGGCCAUGAAAAGAGUCAAAACAUUUAUUUUUAGUAUUCCCUCCAAAAGCAAACCCUAUGUUUGCCCAUUUCCCUCUCUUUUCGGGACUCGAACUUCACUUGCCAGUCGCCUGCAUCAAAACUUCCAACCCCUUCCUAAACAUAUGAGUUUCUCAACCAGCAACAAGAAGACAUUGGACAAAGAAAAUCACGUUUCACUCGAUAUUCUAAGUAGCUCAAUUCAUGCCUAUCAAUACCACAAACCUUUUUCAUUAAAUCCCCAAUUGACUCCCUCAGUCGUCCAGUUAUUCAUUGAUUAUUUUUUCGAUAAAGUUCAUAAAUCUAACUUUAUCAAGGCUAUGGUGUGCUACUUCUGGUUUGGAAUGCGGCUUUCAAGCGUCAUCAUUAAUUUAUUCGCCGACGUCUUCUUUACUUCUGCGUGAAUCGAUAAAUAAGGGGACAAUACGGUGCGUUUAUGUUGAAAAAAUGGAACUUGAUUUGACCCAGAUGCAUACUAAGUUUAGUACGAAGAAAACAGGAUGAUGCUCUAUCUUAUGGACAGUUGCAAUGCUCCAAGCACUAUGACAUGCUACUCGAUAUCUUGUGUUAAAAAAGCGAAGGGGUGGCCUCAUUGGUCUGGCAAAGGUAAUUCAUACAUGUAUUAUGUUCUUGUUUGUUGUCACAUGUAUAAUUUAUUCAUAUCUAUACGCAGAGUAUAAAAACUUGUUUGUUUUGUAGUGAAAAUAUUUAUUAUAUAAACAAUGAAUCAAUAGUAGUUCUUGAUUAUAUUUGGUUUCUUUCUGAAAUAUUGGGUACUGGAUUGAACAAAACAAGAAGGAAUAGCAACUGGGAGCAACGACCUUUAACUCAGUAUCAGGUAUAUGUAAUAAAUGUGCUACAUUUAUAGUAUCACAGAUAGAGUAGUGCUAGUAUGUGGAAUAGCUUCCCGCAUGUAUUUCACAUCUAGUAUGUGGACUGUUGUACUUUUCUAAAGACAUGAGGUUAAGAUGCUGGUUUGUCCUUGUGAAUGAUAUGAUCUGAUCGCCGUGCAUUAUUAUGGUUUUUGAUUCUAUAGUAAUUGAUAGUCAUACCUCUUAUUUGUACUGUUAUGCAGCUAGAAUAUACUGUUCUUGAUGCUUCUGUUCUUGUUCACAUAUAUGGCUACACACAAACUGCUGGUGACCGAGAUGGGCAUUCCAAAAUUGAGCGGAAGUCUCCAUUGUACGAAUAGAGUACCUCUUGCUUUGUCUCUUGUGUUGUCUUUAUUUCAUCAGGCAUAGUGUUCUUUUGUUGUGUAUUAAUUCUAUCAACAAUUUUUUAUAUGCUCAGUUUUAACUUAUUUGUAAAUUCUAAUGUGGCUAUUCUACAUUUCAUAAUCCUAUCUAUAUUCUUGCUAUGUAAGACUGAAAUCCGAUGGUUUUUUUAUUCAGAGACUUUCAUAUUGUCCAACUUGGGCGUGUCUCGAUAUGGACAGGUUUGAUGUUAUUCUUCCUCUAGGCCAGGUUAGAAAUUAGAUACUGAUAUUUCAUCUAUUUCUUAUUACAAGAUAUUCAGUUCAUAGAAAGUAGCAAGUAUUUUAAAGGUGGGAUCAUUAUUCAGAGGUCUAUUAUACCAUAUGAAGUAGCAACUAUUUCUCGUAUGGUUUAAUUCCUGUCCAUUUCUCUCGAUUCAUGUUUCUAUUUGUUAUCUAAUUAAAAUUCUUAUUGUCUGUUUUUUUUUUUUUUGAAACUGGUACUAUUUUGUCUGAAAACUUAUACUCUUGUCAUCACAGAUUGAGUUUAUUUUUCAAUAAUGACAUGCAUUUUUAUUCUUAGAUACAUAUCCUCUUUGUUGUUGUUGUAUUAUACUAGAAUUUGCAUUUUCUUCCUAGUGAUUAAUACCUCAAUGUAAUGUGGCAUAAUGGUUUUGUAGAUUUCUCUGCAACUAUAAAAACCCAACUGGUUUAGAAUCGUGGAAGGCGAAGAGAUAUAGGUGACAUUGCUACGAGAAGACAAGCAAAAGAUGUUCAAUGGGUUGAAGACUUGAUAAUGGUCCACAGCUGGAGAAUGUCAAUAAGCUUACUAUAGUCUUGAGUUUAGAUAUUUAAUGACACUAGUUACUAGACUCAAAAUAACACUACCUGAGAGAUUCAAAUGGUGUACUUUUUUUUUUUUAAUUUUUAAUUUUUUUUAAUGUUGUUCACUCUGAAAUUAUGAGAAGUUAUCUUUGUUAUUAAUUUAAUGUAAUAUAUUAUGAUUGGAUGAAUUUAGCAUAUUUUGUUAUGAAUAUUUUAUUUCGUUA